CUAAUACCGGAUAGGACUGCGCGGUGCAUGCCGUGUGGUGGAAAGAUUUAUCGGUGCAGGAUGGGCCCGCGGCCUAUCAGCUUGUUGGUGGGGUAAUGGCCUACCAAGGCGACGACGGGUAGCCGGCCUGAGAGGGCGACCGGCCACACUGGGACUGAGACACGGCCCARACUCCUACGGGAGGCAGCAGUGGGGAAUAUUGCACAAUGGGCGCAAGCCUGAUGCAGCGACGCCGCGUGAGGGAUGACGGCCUUCGGGUUGUAAACCUCUUUCAGCAGGGACRAAGCGCAAGUGACGGUACCUGCARAAGAAGCACCGGCCAACUACGUGCCAGCAGCCGCGGUAAUACGUAGGGUGCAAGCGUUGUCCGGAAUUACUGGGCGUAAAGAGCUCGUAGGCGGUUUGUCGCGUCGUCUGUGAAAACCAGCAGCUCAACUGUUGGCUUGCAGGCGAUACGGGCARACUUGAGUAUUUCAGGGGAGACUGGAAUUCCUGGUGUAGCGGUGAAAUGCGCAGAUAUCAGGAGGAACACCGGUGGCGAAGGCGGGUCUCUGGGAAAUAACUGACGCUGAGGAGCGAAAGCGUGGGUAGCGAACAGGAUUAGAUACCCUGGUAGUCCACGCCGUAAA
rnacentral:rRNA from 1 species